GCCCCAGUAUCCUGAGUUCUUCCAGGAGAAGGAAGAUGGCGAAGACAGUGAGGGAAGAGAGCAGACGUCUGACUCCGGGGUGCUUAUCUGUGUGGAAGAGACCGGUUCUUCCUGACUGGCUUCAUGUCCCUCAAGAUCCCAAAGAAGGCUAUGGCUAUUUCAAAGCCAGAGAAUAGGGGCAGAGACUCAGCAGCCUGCUCCUGGGUGCAAAGAGACAAGGCCAGGUGCAGCCUGUGCUCACAGUCUUGGAAGCUUGGUGGUGGUGGAGGUGUUCUCCUGGCUCUUCAAGUAUUUACCCGUCUGUGUGUGACUCAUAUCCAGGAACCCAGGCAGCUUCCCUCAAUAGAUUGCUGGCUUCAGAAGAUGAGCCUCCCCUGCCGCUCCACAAGGCUCAAGUGCUUCAAUGAAAUAAAAGAGAACUGAA
rnacentral:lncRNA from 1 species